UACACAGCCAUAUCACCCUGCAGCCCAAGACUGGUUGCUCACUGAAGCUAAGCAGGGCUGAGCCUGGUCAGUACCUGGAUGGGAGACCUUCUGGGAAAACAAGGUUGUUGCUGGAA
rnacentral:rRNA from 1 species